CCCACUUAUUCCUCACUUGGUUUAUCUUUUUUAUUUUGAUGGUCAAUUUCAAGCAACAUCAGCGGCCGGUUCUGCUUCCACCAUCUCCAGGUUUAUAUUUUUUCCCUCUGCUCCUCUCUGGUUGUUUACAGCUCUUGAUAAAGUUGGUCGAAUUUUGAACUCAAUUUCCGGCUCCCUAAUUUGCUUUAUGGGAAAUGAGCAAAAACGGUUUGAUAAAAUGUGUCAAUUAGAAAUAGGAGAACUUGAUUGGUUGGAUUUCACGAUGAGUCGGCGUCGAUAGCGAAACCCAGUAUGAAGUGGAAAUUGAUCCCUUGUUUGAUUGGGACUGAAUCGAAUGUGACGGGUGCACCAAUAGCUCUGAUCGACUCCAUCAUUACCUUGUUGUUUGUCUGUUCAUGCCGUAGAAGCCUUAACGGCGGAAGAGUUCUGCGAGUUCUAAAGAGAAGAUGAAGAAGAUAAGGUAAGAUAAAUUUUUUUUAAAAAAAAGAAUAAGUAAAUUUUGAAAAGAAUUUUACUAACCAUAAAAUUUUGGUGAUUUAUUUGCAUGUGUUUACAUUUUGAAGGGC
rnacentral:lncRNA from 1 species